UGCUACUGCCAGCAUUGCUGGAGCCCCAACACAGUACCCACCAGGACGGGGGACUCCACCCCCACCUGUAGGCAGAGCAACCCCACCACCAGGCAUCAUGGCUCCUCCACCUGGUAUGAGACCACCUAUGGGCCCACCAAUUGGGCUUCCCCCUGCUCGAGGGACGCCAAUAGGCAUGCCUCCUCCUGGAAUGAGGCCCCCACCACCAGGAAUUAGAGGUCCACCUCCCCCAGGAAUGCGUCCACCAAGACCCUAGAAUACUGUUGAUUCAUCUAAGUCACCUUUAUCCCUGCUCUGCGUCUUGUGAAUUGUGUAGAUUGUUUGUGAGCUUUUUGUCCCCUUUCUGCAUUAAUAAUAGACAAUAAAUGCAUAGAGCAAUUAAACCAUGAGAUACUUGUAUAUUUUUUCUUUGCCUAUUUAUAUUGGUGAGGUCAGAGUGAAAACAUUUUUUCUGGUAUUGAAUCCUAUUAAGGAAUUUAUUCAAAAUACUUUUUAAGGUAAAAUGAUUGUGCUAUUUGUUUCUGCUUUCUGACUUUCUUCUACUUUGUGCAUGACCAGUGUUGAUUGAUAACAUUUGCAGAUAGGAAACUCAUGAAACAGGGGCUUUAAGUUGUUAUGAAUUCAUAAAUAGUCUU